GAUGAAGAACGUAGCGAAAUGCGAUACGUAAUGUGAAUUGCAGAAUUCAGUGAAUCAUCGAAUCUUUGAACGCAUAUUGCGCUCUCUGGUAUUCCGGAGAGCAUGCUUGUUUGAGUAUCAGUAAACACCUCAACUCCCUUUUCUUUUUUGAAAUUGGAGCUGGACUUGAGUGAUCCCAACGCUUUCUUCCAAGAAAGUGGCGGGUUGCUUGAAAUGCAGGUGCAGCUGAACUUUUCUCUGAGCUAUAAGCAUAUCUAUUUAGUCUGCCUAAAAAACAGAUUAUUACCUUUGCUGCAGCUAACAUAAAGGAGACUAGUUCUUGUGCUGACUGAUGCAGGAUUCACAGAGACAGCUUCGGCUGACUUUGUAAACUCGAUCUCAAAUCAAGUAAGACUACCCGCUGAACUUAAGUAUAUCAAUAAGCGGAGGA
rnacentral:misc_RNA from 1 species